rnacentral:rRNA from 1 species
CCCUUAGAUGUUCUGGGCCGCACGCGCGCUACACUGACGAAGUCAGCGAGCAUGUCCUACGCCGACAGGUGCGGGGAAUCUUGUCAAACUUCAUCGUGAUGGGGAUUGAUUAUUGAAAUUCUUGAUCAUCAACGAGGAAUUCCUAGUAAGCGCAAGUCAGCAGCUUGCGUUGAUUACGUCCCUGCCCUUUGUACACACCGCCCGUCGCUACUACCGAUUGAAUGGUUUAGUGAGAUCUUCGGAUUGGCGCCACUGCGGCUCAGCAAUGGGCUCGGUGGAUGCCGAAAAGUUGAUCAAACUUGAUCAUUUAGAGGAAGUAAAAGUCGUAACA